ACGCUGGCGGCAGGCCUAACACAUGCAAGUCGAGCGGUAGAGAGAAGCUUGCUUCUCUUGAGAGCGGCGGACGGGUGAGUAAUGCCUAGGAAUCUGCCUGGUAGUGGGGGAUAACGUUCGGAAACGGACGCUAAUACCGCAUACGUCCUACGGGAGAAAGCAGGGGACCUUCGGGCCUUGCGCUAUCAGAUGAGCCUAGGUCGGAUUAGCUAGUUGGUGGGGUAAUGGCUCACCAAGGCGACGAUCCGUAACUGGUCUGAGAGGAUGAUCAGUCACACUGGAACUGAGACACGGUCCAGACUCCUACGGGAGGCAGCAGUGGGGAAUAUUGGACAAUGGGCGAAAGCCUGAUCCAGCCAUGCCGCGUGUGUGAAGAAGGUCUUCGGAUUGUAAAGCACUUUAAGUUGGGAGGAAGGGUUGUAGAUUAAUACUCUGCAAUUUUGACGUUACCGACAGAAUAAGCACCGGCUAACUCUGUGCCAGCAGCCGCGGUAAUACAGAGGGUGCAAGCGUUAAUCGGAAUUACUGGGCGUAAAGCGCGCGCAGGUGGUUUGUUAAGUUGGAUGUGAAAUCCCCGGGCUCAACCCUGGGAACUGCAUUCAAAACUGACUGACUAGAGUAUGGUAGAGGGUGGUGGAAUUUCCUGUGUAGCGGUGAAAUGCGUAGAUAUAGGAAGGAACACCAGUGGCGAAGGCGACCACCUGGACUAAUACUGACACUGAGGUGCGAAAGCGCGGGGAGCAAAC
rnacentral:rRNA from 1 species